CAACAGGAGUACCAAGCACAACUGCACCAUCAGGAACGGCUUCUGGAAUAGUUUGUUUUGAUCUUUCAUCAGCAUAUGUGAAUCUUCCAGGUGUUCCAGGUGAUCUUCCUGCUUGUAUAUUGGCAGCCGCUGCAGCUGCUGCAGCAUGGGAAGCUGCACUUGUUGUUUCGGCAGCAGCCAGAUCUUCAGCAACAAGUAGGUCAUCAAGAAGCACACCUGCAUCAGAAAUCACUAUCCAUUUAACAACCAAAGCAAUCAACUUAUGAUGGUCAACAUUAACUUAUCUCAAACAUCUAGCAUCAGAGAAAAUGGAUAAAUUUCCAGAAUAACAGAAGCGUGAGUUUUUAGAAUAUCAAAAAUAUAAUGUCAUUAUCCACUUGCUCCACUGACGGUAGUUCCUAAUGUAUAAACUUCAUCUUAAGAACAAUAAUACAAUGACAACCUUACACAAAUAUUUUAAAAAAAAACAGAGAAAAGCACAAGUCAAUUAUGCAGGAGGUGACUUCUAUUCCCUUAUCUUGAUCUUAAAGAUCAUUUUAUCCCUUCCUUCCUCACCUGCUCUUCUCCCUCCUACUUCCUAAAGAAUUUGAUGCGGCCAUGCCUAAACACCUUUGCUCAGUCUCCUUGGUCCCUGCAGCAUGGCAUUUUCAGUGCUUAUGUCGGUGUACAUAUCCCCAUUAACAGGAGGGGCAACAGGAGUACCAAGCACAACUGCACCAUCAGGAACGGCUUCUGGAAUAGUUUGUUUUGAUCUUUCAUCAGCAUAUGUGAAUCUUCCAGGUGUUCCAGGUGAUCUUCCUGCUUGUACAUUGGCAGCUGCUGCAGCUGCUGCAGCAUGGGAAGCUGCACUUGUUGUUUCAGCAGCAGCCAGAUCUUCAGCAACAAGUAGGUCAUCAAGAAGCACCUGAACCCCACCAAUGAAUAUCUCAAUCUCUUCCCACUACAUAUGGCAAAUUUUUAAAUGAACAAAACCAUUAAGGUGCAGGUCAAGUUGAAAUUGCAGCUUUAGUAGGGGUUAGGCGCAACAAACUUACCAACAGAAAGAGCAGGGUGCACGUAGCACCUAACAAUGGAGGGAUAAUUAUGGAAUUUUA
rnacentral:lncRNA from 1 species